AUUGAACGCUGGCGGCAGGCCUAACACAUGCAAGUCGAGCGGAUGAAGGGAGCUUGCUCCUGUAUUCAGCGGCGUACGGGUUAGUAAUGCCUAGGAAUCUGCCUGGUAGUGGGGGAUAACGUCCGGAAACGGGCGCUAAUACCGCAUACGUCCUGAGGGAGAAAGUGGGGGAUCUUCGGACCUCACGCUAUCAGAUGAUCCUAGGUCGGAUUAGCUAGUUGGUGGGGUAAAGGCCUACCAAGGCGACGAUCCGUAACUGGUCUGAGAGGAUGAUCAGUCACACUGGAACUGAGACACGGUCCAGACUCCGACGGGAGGCAGCAGUGGGGAAUAUUGGACAAUGGGCGAAAGCCUGAUCCAGCCAUGCCGCGUGUGUGAAGAAGGUCUUCGGAUUGUAAAGCACUUUAAGUUGGGAGGAAGGGCAGUAAGUUAAUACCUUGCUGUUUUGACGUUACCAACAGAAUAAGCACCGGCUAACUUCGUG
rnacentral:rRNA from 1 species